GUGGAGCUGCCUCUGCAGAGACACACAAAAACAGGCUUUAGUUUUUUAAAGAUCUGGACACAGUGCAAGGGUUAUUGCAACAGUCGUGCUGUGAGGGAACAAUGAAGUAGUGGGAAAGGGCUCUCCUAUCUGAGGAAAGUUUGUAAGAAAACAGGAUAUUUGUCUCUGAAGAGGUUGUCUGCUACUUAUUUCCUGCGUAAACUUCCUGCUGUUGCUACUUCAGAAACUACUGUCUAAUCCACUUGUGUCCCAGGCCUUUAACUGUCACUAAGCACCUGGACCCCAGACCAUGGAUGUUCAAAAUUAAUUCAUUCUCCCAUAUCAACCCUGCCCUUAAUUUCUUUAGCAUCCUCUGGCUGGGUCAUGUGACAAGUUUUUCCUCACUCUCUCUUUCCUUGAAUAAUCAUUUUGUUCACCUCUCCCUCAAAUUUCCCUGUUUCCUCACAUGCCAUUCUUCACAGUACUUAAAUUUGAACUGUCUGUUGAAGCUUGGGGAUAGAAAGUCCUUGCUUUUGUGGAUGUUCCAGCACUGUCUCACAGCGCACAGAAAACACCCACAAUCUUGCAAAUAUCCCAGGAAAUUUGAUUUCCUGGGCUUUUAAACUCUGUGUCCAUUCCUUUCAUCCUCUAAUUAGUUCACUUGUUACGAGCUUACUUUAGUUUAACUAGUCUCUGUGGGGCGUGGGAGUGAGGUAAUAGCAUGCCUUUUUUUAAUUUUUUUUUUUUUUUUUAAAGUGAUAAAAUGCCAUUUUCUUCCAUUAGGACAAAUGACACAGUCAGCUGUGUAUUAAAAGGUCAAUGUACAAAAACCGUAUAAAAGUAUCGAUCAGUCUGGAAGCUAGUUGUUAUUUUUGUAAUGCCCUGGUGACACAAUGAUUAAACUGAUUAAGCCAUAAAUGAUGGGGACAUCAACUUCUGUCAGUUCAGCUCCUGGAAUAGCCCUCCAUCCCCCAGUCUCCCAGUGUUCUGGAUAAAUGUGCUUUGAGUUCGUCGUAAAAUGCCAGGUCAAUGGACUGCCGAGUACUCAAACAAAGCAGAAUGUCCUGACCAUGUGCAAAGCCAGUUCUCCUGCCUGUGCUGCCACAGGUGAAAUCAAGGCAAUGAAAUGUGAGCAGUUGGCAGACCUACAGCAGAUGCCAUCUCAGUUUGUUUGUGAUGAAGUGUCACAUACCCAGAGCUGGUGACGAGGGAGCUGAAGUGGGAGUGCGUCAAGACGACGUUUGUGUCAGUGCACUCUGUAGCACAGCCUGUGUUGGCUCACUUGCUAGGCAACCUCUGAAUGCUGCCUUUCUCAAGUGUUUGGGAGGAGGACUUUUCUUGUGUCUUUCUCAUUGAUGCCUGGAAGAGUUUAAUGACAGCCAAGGGAGUUAAAAAUGGAGCUACUUGCUUCUUCAGUCUUUGGUGAGAUGAGCUUGUGAAACUGCAGACUUGCUUCAUUGUUACAUAUUAAUGGUUAAGAGUGUAGUAGCACCUAGAAGGAAAGACAAGAAUACAAACCAGGCUUCUGCUUGACAAAUGCCCUCAUUCUUUGCUGGACAAAUAUGUGACAAAAGGAAAGAAGCAAGGCAGAAAGAGAUGGAGGUACACAGGGAGACAGCAGCAACAAUGGAGUGGAAGCUGAAUAACCAUGUCUUCCAGGUUCCUCCAUAAGCCUUUUUCUCUUCAGUCCUUUUAUAGAAGAUCUUGUUGGCAAUCAAAGUAGAAAUGGAGGCUAAAGACUGAGCAUGCAGUGGGAGAAGGUGGAAGCUUGAAACCUUGAGACACUUCUCUUCUGUCCUGUGAAGAGGGAUUGUCACAGGACUGAUGUCAGAAGAAUGGAAAUGGAUUAGUCUCAGAGAACCUGUGCAAAAGAGUGACCAAUGAAAGAUCUGAAUCUCAGUAACACUUCUGUGUCUGACGCAGCUCAGAGAAAAAAGGAUUCUUGAAUUACAGGAGAGUUUCAAUUACACAGAUUGUUGGUGCAAUGCGUGGUCAAAAGCCUGUACGGAAUAGGUCCUUCAGAUUGCUGAGCGUGAUUUCAAGACAAGAUAUUAAGGAUAGAUGAAACAUGAUUCACAACUGUCUGGUAAAGAUGCACUACAGUCAUUUUGCCAUGAGGCAGAUGAAGUUUUUUAAUGGGCAAGGAGUGCAUUAACUCUGGUUUCUCUAAGACCCGCACUAAAAAUUAUUUUGACUGUGACAGCCACAAGCUGAAGUAAUAAAAUGAACUUAAACCUGACCCUGCAUGCAGUCUACUAACAUCUCUUCUGCCAGACAAAAUGCUUUCAGAUGUCUCUCCUAAGGCAACUGAUUAUUGAAAAGCUUUUCUUUUCCCUUAAAAAAAAAAAAAAAAAAAAAAAAAGCUUGUGACAUACCAUUUGCAUCGGUAAGAUGUUUCUCUUGGAUCUCCUCUUCCCAUCCCCUAUGUUGUUUAUGCAGCAGUCAGCAGCAGUGUUGCAUGUUCCCUUCUACCAUGGAAAUCCACUGUGUGGAAUAAGCAGAGGGAAUGAGCAAAGGGAAACUUGAGGUGUAACUGGGCAGUUGGACUUAAGGAAAAUAAAGAAUAAAUGCUUGUCAUAGAGCCUGCAUGUUAAUGAUCAGCCAGAGUUGAGAAAACAUCGAGUUCAACAGUCAUCAGGUGUGACAAAAUCCUCUUUAAGAAGGGAAUUCAAGGCCUUACUUUGUUAGGAUCAGUUCCAGACCAGGAUAUAGUAAUCAUGAGUUUCAGUGGAGGAAUUCCUUUCCUCCUCCCCAGUUCAAAAGCUUGGUUACAGCACAUGAAUGUACAGGGCUGACUUUAGAUCAUUACGUAAUGAAUUUAGGUGUCUAAGAAUAGCAGUCUCACUGAAUGGAAGAGAUGAGAGAAAGUCUGAUCCAGCCAACUGGCAAUGUGAUGGGACCUCUCUCUAUAUUGCCUGGAUUUAGAGAGUGAUCUCAGAGGUGGCAUUUUGAAAUGGAGAUUCAGCUUCUGAAACAGCUUCUGGCAGAUAAACACCUGGCCUCUAUGCUUCAGGUAAAAGCUGCUAUUUUUUCAUAAUACUUGUUUGAAGGAAGAGCCUUCAACAGUCCUUGUUUCAUACCUAGAUUACUCAUUCAGGAAGAGUUAAAGAUAGACCUUUUGUCUGCAAUGAUGCCAUAAAUAACUCUCAUAUGGGAACACUUUCCGCAUUUCUUGAGCCUUGGUCACUGUGCACAGAUUCAUUGGAAAACAAGUAGAAAGAAAUACUGUAUAGUUGAAUACUACUGUGCUUGCACCUUGAAAUUGUUUGUAAUUUUCAAUUAUUUACUUGUUCCUUUCAUUUUGAAGGCAAGAAUUAUAAAUUCAUACCACUUAAUGAAAAAACAUGAAGGAGAAGCUAUCAGAUGCUAGGUAACAAGUUCAGAUUACUUCUUCAAUGACAGGAUUGCACUUUGAGUGUUAGAGUGAAGGAUAAGAGUUUACAACUAGUUGUAAACUAGUUGGGUUUACAACUAGUGAAGCAGUAAUAGGACCCCACUAAUGUCUCUAGUGGCAUAGAAUAAGACAGAUUAAGGAACAGUUAACAUAAAAUGGCAUAAAUAUGUCAGUUCUUCUGAGCAAUAUAACAAAGGAGAGUUCAACAGGAGAGCCAUAGACUGGCACGCAGCUCGGUUGCCACAAUCAAAUAGACUGAAAACCAUCACACCCUCAAGAGGUAUAAUUUUGCUUUUUUUCUGUGCCCGUAAGCAGCGUCUGCAAAGGCAUAUUAAAUUUUUUCCAUGUCCUUUCCUCUCUUUACUUUCACCUUAGGGAUGACACAGACACUUGAUCAUUAUGAUUUCCAAUGACUCAUGCUCAGCAACACAAAGCUAAAUUGAUUACCAAUCCAUCCUCCAGGAAAUACUGGUGGGUAUCCUCAGGAAUCUAGGUUAGGUUCAGGUAAACAUCUCUCACACUGGUUCUUCUGAUGAC